rnacentral:rRNA from 1 species
AGAGUUUGAUCCUGGCUCAGGACGAACGCUGGCGGCGUGCUUAACACAUGCAAGUCGAACGGUGACGAGGAGCUUGCUCCUCUGAUCAGUGGCGAACGGGUGAGUAACACGUGAGCAACCUGCCCCAGACUCUGGGAUAACAGUUGGAAACAGCUGCUAAUACCGGAUACGAGACGGAGAGGCAUCUCUACCGUCUGGAAAGUUUUUCGGUCUGGGAUGGACUCGCGGCCUAUCAGCUAGUUGGUGAGGUAAUGGCUCACCAAGGCGACGACGGGUAGCCGGCCUGAGAGGGCGACCGGCCACACUGGGACUGAGACACGGCCCAGACUCCUACGGGAGGCAGCAGUGGGGAAUAUUGCACAAUGGGCGAAAGCCUGAUGCAGCGACGCCGCGUGAGGGAUGACGGCCUUCGGGUUGUAAACCUCUUUCAGCAGGGAAGAAGCGAAAGUGACGGUACCUGCAGAAGAAGCACCGGCUAACUACGUGCCAGCAGCCGCGGUAAUACGUAGGGUGCGAGCGUUGUCCGAAUUAUUGGGCGUAAAGAGCUUGUAGGCGGUUUGUCGCGUCUGCAGUGAAAAUCCGAGGCUCAACCUCGGACUUGCUGUGGGUACGGGCAGACUAGAGUAUGGUAGGGGAGACCGGAAUUCCUGGUGUAGCGGUGGAAUGCGCAGAUAUCAGGAGGAACACCGAUGGCGAAGGCAGGUCUCUGGGCCAUAACUGACGCUGAGAAGCGAAAGCAUGGGGAGCGAACAGGAUUAGAUACCCUGGUAGUCCAUGCCGUAAACGUUGGGCGCUAGGUGUGGGGCUCAUUCCACGAGCUCCGUGCCGCAGCUAACGCAUUAAGCGCCCCGCCUGGGGAGUACGGCCGCAAGGCUAAAACUCAAAGGAAUUGACGGGGGCCCGCACAAGCGGCGGAGCAUGCGGAUUAAUUCGAUGCAACGCGAAGAACCUUACCAAGGCUUGACAUAUACCGGAAACAUCCAGAGAUGGGUGCCCCGCAAGGUCGGUAUACAGGUGGUGCAUGGUUGUCGUCAGCUCGCGUCGUGAGAUGUUGGGUUAAGUCCCGCAACGAGCGCAACCCUCGUUCUAUGUUGCCAGCGCGUAAUGGCGGGGACUCAUAGGAGACUGCCGGGGUCAACUCGGAGGAAGGUGGGGAUGACGUCAAAUCAUCAUGCCCCUUAUGUCUUGGGCUUCACGCAUGCUACAAUGGCCGGUACAAAGGGCUGCGAUACCGCGAGGUGGAGCGAAUCCCAAAAAAACCGGUCUCAGUUCGGAUUGGGGUCUGCAACUCGACCCCAUGAAGUCGGAGUCGCUAGUAAUCGCAGAUCAGCAACGCUGCGGUGAAUACGUUCCCGGGCCUUGUACACACCGCCCGUCAAGUCACGAAAGUCGGUAACACCCGAAGCCGGUGGCCCAACCCUUGUGGAGGGAGCCGUCGAA